rnacentral:rRNA from 1 species
UACAGAGACUGCAAGCGUUAUUCGGAUUCACUGGGCGUAAAGGGUGCGCAGGCGGCCGGGUGUGUCAGAUGUGAAAUCCCGAGGCUCAACCUCGGAACUGCGUCUGAAACUACUCGGCUAGAGUACUGGAGAGGGUAACGGAAUUCACGGUGUAGCAGUGAAAUGCGUAGAUAUCGUGAGGAACACCAGAGGCGAAGGCGGUUACCUGGACAGUUAUUGACGCUCAGGCACGAAAGCAUGGGGAGCAAAAGGG